rnacentral:lncRNA from 1 species
AAAGCUGUUUUCUGAUAUAUGUUGGGUACCAUAGAGUGAAUCUCAGAACAGGAAGCGGAGGCAUAAGCAGAGAGGAUUCUGGAAAGGUCUCUUUGUUUUCUUAUCCACAGAGAAAGAAAGAAAAAAAAUUGUAACUAAUUUGUAAACCUCUGUGGUCAAAAAAAAAAAAAAAAAAAAAAGCUGAACAGCUGCAGAGGAAGACACGUUAUACCCUAACCAUCUUGGAUGCUGGGCUUUGUUAUGCUGUAAUUCAUAAGGCUCUGUUUUA